UAGUAUAUGAUGUAUAGAAGUUUUUGAUACUUAAGGUAAUAGUUUAAUUCU
rnacentral:tRNA from 1 species